rnacentral:rRNA from 1 species
UACGUAGGGGGCAAGCGUUGUCCGGAUUUAUUGGGCGUAAAGAGCGUGUAGGCGGCCAGACAGGUCAGCUGUGAAAACUCGAGGCUCAACCUCGAGACGUCGGUUGAAACCGUCUGGCUAGAGUCCGGAAGAGGAGAAUGGAAUUCCCGGUGUAGCGGUGAAAUGCGCAGAUAUCGGGAAGAACACCCGUGGCGAAGGCGGUUCUCUGGGACGUUACUGACGCUGAGACGCGAAAGCGUGGGGAGCGAACAGG